rnacentral:rRNA from 1 species
UACGUAGGGUGCGAGCGUUGUCCGGAAUUAUUGGGCGUAAAGAGCUCGUAGGCGGUCUGUCGCGUCGGUCGUGAAAACUUGGGGCUUAACCCUGAGCUUGCGGUCGAUACGGGCAUGACUGGAGUUCGGCAGGGGAGACUGGAAUUCCUGGUGUAGCGGUGAAAUGCGCAGAUAUCGGGAGGAACACCGGUGGCGAAGGCGGCGACCUGGGUCGAUACUGACGCUGAUGCGCGAAAGCGUGGGGAGCAAACAGG